rnacentral:tRNA from 23 species
GGGGGUAUAGCUCAGCUGGUAGAGCACCUGUUUUGCAUGCAGGAAGUCAGCGGUUCGAGUCCGCUUACCUCCACCU